rnacentral:rRNA from 1 species
UGCCUCUUGAAUUAAUGAUAAGAGGUAACUCCUGCCCAGUGAAAAAAGAAAUUUCAACGGCCGCGGUAUCCUAACCGUGCAAAGGUAGCAUAAUCACUUGUCUAUUAAUUGUAGACUAGAAUGAAAGGAUAAACGAAAUAAGAUCUGUCUCUGCUAGCUUUUUAUAAAUUAUAAUUUAGAUGAAGAUAUCUAAAUACAAAUGAAGGACAAGAAGACCCUAUAGAGCUUUAUUAUUAAAGGUAAAAAAUCUUAUCUUAAAGAUUCGGUUGGGGCGACCAAGGGAAAACAAUCACCCUUUACAUUAAGAUUUAUUAAUCUCUAUCAUGACCCUUAAAAAAGAUCAUAAAAAUAAGCUACCUUAGGGAUAACAGGCUAAUCUCAUUAAAGAGUCCUUAUCUAUAAUGGGGGUUGGCACCUCGAUGUUGGCUUAGGGCAUCUCUAUGGCGCAAAAGUCAUAGAAAGAUGGUUUGUUCAACCUAUAAUUCCCU